AUUGAACGCUGGCGGCAGGCUUAACACAUGCAAGUCGAGCGGGGUGAUGGUGCUUGCACUAUCACUUAGCGGCGGACGGGUGAGUAAUGCUUAGGAAUCUGCCUAUUAGUGGGGGACAACAUCUCGAAAGGGAUGCUAAUACCGCAUACGUCCUACGGGAGAAAGCAGGGGAUCACUUGUGACCUUGCGCUAAUAGAUGAGCCUAAGGCGCAGUAGCUAGUUGGUGGGGUAAAGGCCUACCAAGGCGACGAUCUGUAGCGGGUCUGAGAGGAUGAUCCGCCACACUGGGCCUGAGACACGGCCCAGACUCCUACGGGAGGCAGCAGUGGGGAAUAUUGGACAAUGGGGGGAACCCUGAUCCAGCCAUGCCGCGUGUGUGAAGAAGGCCUUAUGGUUGUAAAGCACUUUAAGCGAGGAGGAGGCUCUUUUGGUUAAUACCCAGGAUGAGUGGACGUUACUCGCAGAAUAAGCACCGGCUAACUCUGUGCCAGCCGCCGCCGUAA
rnacentral:rRNA from 1 species